ACGGAGGGUGCAAGCGUUGUCCGGAUUUAUUGGGUUUAAAGGGUGCGUAGGCGGCCAAUUAAGUCAGUGGUGAAAGUUUCCGGCUCAACCGGGAGACUGCCAUUGAUACUGAUUGGCUUGAGUUAUGGAGGGGUACAUGGAAUUUACGGUGUAGCGGUGAAAUGCAUAGAUACCGUAAGGAACACCGAUAGCGAAGGCAUUGUACUGGCCAUAAACUGACGCUGAGGCACGAAAGCGUGGGUAGCGAACAGG
rnacentral:rRNA from 1 species